GGGAGCCCAACAGCUGAUUUUAAUAAAAGAACCAUGGAAAUAAUAUUCGAAACAAACACAAAGCAUCAGCCAUCUCCAGCAAAGGAGCUGGCAUGCAAAUCCAGAUUAUCUUCCCCACCUGGCCACCCUCAUGCUGGCCUGGGAGCUCACAGCAUUCAGCACACAGGUUCAAUCUUGACGGGAUAAGCCUGCUUGUGUUUCAGAGCUGGGUGGCAGACAGGCCACUGGUGCAAUUCUGUGUCUCACGCCCUGGGGGAUUGUUCACUGUGCCUCAGCCCUCCUACCAGAGAGCUUAUUCAUGAGACAGGGACUCCUACAGGGAAUUCCUACUCUUCAUAUUUGUUCUCUGCUAAACCAGAGGAGACACAUCUUGCUCUAGAGUUCCCCAGAACCUGCUCUUCUGGGUCAGCCUCCUGCUGUCUUAUUCUUCCAUCUUUUCUCCACCUAUGCCCAAAGCACAACCAAGGUCACUUUGUUUCUUGAGCUGAGUUCACGCUGGAGCAUGCAAUGCAACAGAGCUUCUAUUUCCUGGCAGAUGGACCAUGAGCCUGGGCCAGAGAAUCUGGUGCUGAGCUGCUGCAGUCAGCUGAGCUGCUUACGUAACCUGAAGGCUCUCCUGGGAGGACCAUGCUGUGAAAGGCAGCUCUGGUUUGCUUCCCCUCAGAUAAUGUUUAUAUGGCCUUUUGGUCAGAGAAGAAGCAAAGAUAAUCCCCCUGACCCUCAGGUUGAGGAGACACAGAUCGGCCUUUGCUGAGGGUAGCACAGCAAAUGAGGAUGCAUCUCCCAGCAGGUGACGUGCCCGGUCCUGUGACUCAUGCCCUUUAUCCCAGUAAGUGAUCUGGCUCUGGUAAAGUGCCCUAGGGAGCCUUGCCUGGACAAGGAGCACCUCGUGAUAGUCUGCCCUGUGCAACCCGCUGCUGUUUCUGACGAGGUUAAGCUGGAUUCAAAUGCUAGGUGACAGGACCUUGCCUUGCACGAUGGUUUCUUACCCCACAAUAUUCAUCUCAGGGGUGAGCAGGCUAGCAACAUUCUUGGAUGACAUGGCCAUUCUGGUGAGAUGGUAAAUGCCUGGGGCCUGGACUCUGAAGAUCUUCACGAGGUCACUCCCGCAUGACUGUCCUGAAUAGGCAAAGCAGUCUGCCUGAUGUAGCCACCCCACUUUCUAGGGUCAAUGACCCAUCUGCGGCUCCCAGCCUGGGAGUCCUAGAUGCUUAGAUUAGGUUCUUUUUCUCUCUUAGGGUCAAAUGCAAACAAAAAUGCUGUGAGACGCAGGACAUCAGGGGCAUCCCAGGGCCUGAAUAUUCUUACUCUGACCAGAGCCGGCUCCGGGCAGCUGUCAGCCAUGCCUUAAAAAUCAGAAGUCUGCACACUUUUUCCGUAAAGGGCCAGGUAUUAAAUCUUUCAGGUUCAUGGGCCACAUGUGGUCUCAGAUGCAACUACCCAGCACUGCCAUUGUGGCAUGGAAGCAGCCAUAGAGACUUUGUAAAUGAAUGGGCACGGUGGCAUUCCAAUAAAACUUCAUUUACAAAAACAAGCCAUGGGCUGGAUUUGGACUAUGAGUUAUACUUUGCCAACACCUGGUUUAAAUUAAAUCUGAACUUCCCUCGGAG
rnacentral:lncRNA from 10 species